rnacentral:rRNA from 1 species
CCUACGGGUGGCAGCAGUGAGGAAUAUUGGUCAAUGGGCUUACGCCUGAACCAGCCAAGUCGCGUGAGGGAAGACUGCCCUAUGGGUUGUAAACCUCUUUUGGCAGGGAGCAACGCCGGCUACGCGUAGCCGGACUGAGAGUACCUGAAGAAAAAGCAUCGGCUAACUCCGUGCCAGCAGCCGCGGUAAUACGGAGGAUGCGAGCGUUAUCCGGAUUUAUUGGGUUUAAAGGGUGCGUAGGCGGCAUGCCAAGUCAGCGGUAAAAGCGCGGGGCUCAACCCCGCUCCGCCGUUGAAACUGGCGUUCUUGAGUGGGCGAGAGGUAUGCGGAAUGCGUGGUGUAGCGGUGAAAUGCAUAGAUAUCACGCAGAACUCCGAUUGCGAAGGCAGCAUACCGGCGCCCGACUGACGCUGAGGCACGAAAGCGUGGGGAUCGAACAGGAUUAGAUACCCCAGUAGUC